rnacentral:rRNA from 1 species
AGUGAACGCUGGCGGUAGGCCUAACACAUGCCAGUCGAACGGCAGCACAGUAAGAGCUUGCUCUUACGGGUGGCGAGUGGCGGACGGGUGAGGAAUACAUCGGAAUCUACUUUUUCGUGGGGGAUAACGUAGGGAAACUUACGCUAAUACCGCAUACGACCUACGGGUGAAAGCAGGGGAUCUUCGGACCUUGCGCGAUUGAAUGAGCCGAUGUCGGAUUAGCUAGUUGGCGGGGUAAAGGCCCACCAAGGCGACGAUCCGUAGCUGGUCUGAGAGGAUGAUCAGCCACACUGGAACUGAGACACGGUCCAGACUCCUACGGGAGGCAGCAGUGGGGGAUAUUGGACAAUGGGCGCAAGCCUGAUCCAGCCAUACCGCGUGGGUGAAGAAGGCCUUCGGGUUGUAAAGCCCUUUUGUUGGGAAAGAAAAGCAGCAGGUUAAUACCCCGCUGUUCUGACGGUACCCAAAGAAUAAGCACCGGCUAACUUCGUG